CAGCCUGAAACAGUCGAUUAUACAAUUGUUAGUCGAGUUAAAACACCAAGCUACAGUUAUUAAGGAAAAUACUAACAAAACUCAGGUUUGAAUAAGAUUGACGCUGAAUCGAUUUUUAUAAGACCUAUGAAUAUUGAGAUAAUUAGGAAUCUAAUUUGGAAUUUAUUAAGAGUUUAGGUCAUGCGUUUGACCUCUUGAAAAUGAAGGAAAAUUUAUUUUUGAUUUUUUGGACUAUUGAUUUAGGUGGAAUAUCGAUGAUACUUACCAA